rnacentral:rRNA from 1 species
GACAUCCCAAGAAAUCUCGAGAGACCGAGAUGUGCCCCUUUGGGGAACUUGGUGACAGGUGCUGCAUGGCUGUCGUCAGCUCGUGUCGUGAGAUGUUGGGUUAAGUCCCGCAACGAGCGCAACCCUCGCCCUUAGUUGCCAAUAUUAAGUUAGGAACUCUAAGGGGACUGCCAAGGUGACAACUUGGAGGAAGGUGGGGAUGAUGUCAAGUCAUCAUGGCCCUUGACGUCCAGGGCUACAAACGUGCUACAAUGACCGGUACAAAGAGCAGCAAUACAGCGAUGUGGAGCAAAUCUCAAAAAACCGGCCUCAGUUCGGAUUGGAGUCUGCAACUCGACUCCANGAAGCUGGAAUCGCUAGUAAUCGCGAAUCAGCAAUGUCGCGGUGAAUACGUUCCCGGGUCUUGUACACACCGCCCGUCAAGCCUAA